AGUGAACGCUGGCGGUAGGCCUAACACAUGCAAGUCGAACGGCAGCACAGUAAUAGCUUGCUCUUACGGUUUUCGAUUUUCUUACUUGUUAGUAAUACAUCGGAAUCUACUUUUUCUUUUUUUAUAACGUAGGUAAACUUACUCUAAUACCGCAUACUACCUACGGGUGAAAGCAGGUUAUCUUCGUACCUUUCGCGCUUUCAUUCUCCUCUGUCGGAUUAGCUAUUUUUCGGGGUAAAGGCCCACCAAGGCGACGAUCCGUAGCUGGUCUGAGAGGAUGAUCAGCCACACUGGAACUGAGACACGGUCCAGACUCCUACGGGAGGCAGCAGUGGGGAAUAUUGGACAAUGGGCGCAAGACUGAUCCAGCCAUACCGCGUGGGUGAAGAAGGAAUGCGGGUUGUAAAGCCCUUUUGUUGGGAAAGAAAAGAAGAAGGUUAAUAACCCGCUGGUCUGACGGUACCCAAAGAAUAAGCACCGGCUAACUUCGUG
rnacentral:rRNA from 1 species